rnacentral:rRNA from 1 species
GACGAACGCUGGCGGCGUGCCUAACACAUGCAAGUCGAACGAGGUACAAGGGAGCUUGCUCCCUGAAGACCUAGUGGCGAACGGGUGAGUAACACGUGAGAAACCUGUCCUCGAGUGAGGAAUAAGCCGGGGAAACCCGGGCGAAUACCGCAUACGCUCCGCUGGUCGCAGGGCCGGAGGAGGAAAGUUUUUCGCUCAAGGGGGGUCUCGCGGCCUAUCAGCUUGUUGGGGGGGUAACGGCCCACCAAGGCUACGACGGGUAGCUGGUUUGAGAGAGCGAUCAGCCACACUGGGACUGAGACACGGCCCAGACUCCUACGGGAGGCAGCAGUGGGGAAUCUUGCGCAAUGGGCGAAAGCCUGACGCAGCAACGCCGCGUGCGGGAUGACGGCCUUCGUGGUUGUAAACCGCUUUCAGCAGGGACGAAAAUGACGGUACCUGCAGAAGAAGCUCCGGCUAACUACGUGCCAGCCGCCGCAGUAA